rnacentral:rRNA from 1 species
UACGAAGGGGACUAGCGUUGUUCGGAAUCACUGGGCGUAAAGCGCACGUAGGCGGAUUGCUAAGUCAGGGGUGAAAUCCUGGAGCUCAACUCCAGAACUGCCUUUGAUACUGGUAAUCUUGAGUCCGGGAGAGGUGAGUGGAACUGCGAGUGUAGAGGUGAAAUUCGUAGAUAUUCGCAAGAACACCAGUGGCGAAGGCGGCUCACUGGCCCGGUACUGACGCUGAGGUGCGAAAGCGUGGGGAGCAAACAGG